rnacentral:lncRNA from 1 species
CCAUUUCUUGGGCUGCUCCCAAGGCACAUGGAGGUUCCCAGGCUAGGGGUCGAAUCAGAGCAGUAGCCUCCAGCCUAUGCCAGAGCCACAGCAACGUGAAAUCCGAGCUGUGUCUUCAACCCACACCACAGCUCACGGCAAUGCUGGGUCCUUAACCCACUGAAUAAGGCCAGGGAUCGAACCUGCAACCUCUUGGUUCCUAGUCUGAUUCAUUAACCACUGAACCACGACAGGAACUCCCAGUAGGUGUCUUCUUGAUUGCAGUUUACCUACCCUAUUUAUUCCAUUCAAUCAGUAAAUUUAUCCAACUUAUGUUGUGAUAUAUCCGAAAGAGGCUUUUCAACCAGAUAUCCAGAGGCCGUGUGAGGAUAACACCAACCAAGGCCAAAUUUACUUUCCUUCACCUCCUUGGGAUUCAGGACCCUGUACCCUGAUUUUUUUAUUUUUCAUGUCAUUCUGGGUACAAUGUUCCUCAGGCUCAGUGUUUCUUUUAAUUUCAACAAUGACAAGAAUUGCACAAAUAUCUGAUCACAUCCUCCAAACAUGGAGAAAUGCCUAUGCUUCAGAAUUCACAAAUGUCCCCAUCCAAUCCAUUUGUCUUUGUAACGUUGAACUUUCACAUUUAAAAAUAAACCAUAUAUUGGACCAAAAAAAAAAAAAGAAUUAGUAGCAAUUGAUAAAUAUAAAAGGAAAGCCAUUGGAUAAAUUCCUAGGGGCUAGUUCUUUAAAUUUUGUUUUAACUAUAAUUACAUUUUAAUUAUAAAAGUGUUUAAUUAAGGUAAUUAUAAACAUAGGAAAUGACUAAAUAGUAAACAUUAAAGGUUUGUGCUUAUGAAAGGGGAAAAACUAUCAAAUUCCUGAGCUAUAUGCUUGAUCACAUAUUUUGAUCAUCCUCAUCGAAGGUAACUGUGAACAGAGAAGUGUGCCAUACCCUGAAUAAUAAUGUUCCUGGUCUUUCAAAGGCUGUUAGUUAAAUCUUUGCAACCUCAUUUCCCAUCUGAUGACAGACACUUGGAUGGAAGAGGAGAGCUACGACCUAAGAAGAAAACCAGCUUCUAGGAGCUAUGCCUUAAAAAAAAACAAAACAAAACAAAACAAAAAACCACGUUAUUUUGGUGAAAGCUCAAGUGGAAGCCUGUAAGCAUGUGUGGUUUUUAAGGGACGAUCAGCUCCUGGAGAGAGUCAGAUACAUCCUGCGAGAAAAGAAAAUGUCUCCAAUGAUAUGGUCCCCAGGUAACCAAACCCCAAGUCAAAAUCUUAUACACGUUCAUCUACUGAAGUAUAUUAAUGUUUAACAUUUUUUAAAGGAGAUUUAUUCUCUGCCAAAGUCUGUAAGUAAAAGUCAAGAAUACUGGGCUUACUUCAAGUGCCUUCUCACAGCCAUCAAUUAACUUUCAUUUCUUAGAUGUGGGUUAUUUAUCUCUCGUUUCCUAGACUGGGUCAUGAGGUUAACUAAGCCUAUAAUUUUUAUGACAAUUAUCAUGCCUUUAGGAGAAAGGCAUUUUGCAUUACCUAGCACGAACAAGAAGGCUUAGAAAGAUGAAUAAUGCAUGGAGUCAAAAUAAGAACUAUAAAAUAGGCUGCAAUCCAUCUUCAAUAUGAUUCAAGAGAGUCUACAGGUGUCUCCUGUUAAGAGAAAAUUUGUUAUGUGGGUAGGAAAAUGUGCCACUGAGAUGAAAUAUCUUCUGUAGCAUUUGUCCCAAAUGUGUUCUAAAUGCUAGAAUCUUAAAUAUAAAAACGGACUAUUGAAGACUCGUGAUGUCAACAAUAUGGAUGGAAAAAGCCAGCGUGCAAUUGCAGAGGCAUGGGCAAUCCAAAUGGACUCUUCACCUUUGGGCUUCAGUGGGGGCAAUUAGUGUAAAGCAAAAUGUGAAACUGCCCUCUAAUCAAAAUAUACUUUCUCUACCAAACAGAAACAGAUCACAGAGCAGACUUGUGGUUGCCAGGGGUGUAGGGCAGGGAGGGUGGGAUAGAGGGGGAGUUUGGGGUGAGUAGAUGCAAACUAUUAUAUUUGGAAUGAAUAAACAAUGAGGCUCGGUGUUGGAUCGUCCCUCAGUUAUGACACAGGACCAGGUAAAUCAUGUUACCUGGGUGCACCUAAAUGUCUUAAUCUGCAAUACCAGGAGCACUACCCCAUCUUGCAAUUCACUAUGGAAAUUAGAUGGCACAAUGUUUCUAAAGCACCUAGAAGAGAGCCCAGUACACAACAGAAACUCAAUAUCAGUUAUUCAUUACUAAACUAAAAUUUGUGACAUUUUAAAGGGUAAGUAUAAAACUCUUGUAAAAUCUUUUCUCUGAUGUGGUAAGAUGUCAGAAAAAUGAAACUAUCAUUACAAUUAACAUCUGCCACUUCACGGUAGGCAAUACUUUCAACAACUUAAAUGUAUGAAAAAUAUUAGCCAUCCCAUCUUGCAGUUGAAAAAAGUGAGACUCAGGAAGAGUAAGUGACUUGCCCCAAGGCUCAUUCCUAUAAUAAAGAGUGUAGCUGGUAUUCCAAAACUCCCUUGUUGGAUUCCAAAUUCUUGCUUUAACCAUUAUUCCACACUUCACAAAAUGCCAAUAAGACAGUGAAAGACAGUAGAAAUAAAGAAUCUGAAAACAUUUUCCUAAUAAUUGUCAAUGUGGGAUCAAAUCUGGUUUGUCUGACUCCAAAGUCUACUCUCAUCCUGUUUCCACACAACCUUGGCUGCCUAUUUCACUAAUGAAACUCUUAAAAAUAAAACAAACAAAAAACCUUUGGCAAUUUUCCAAAAUAAGUAUGAGAAAGUAAAAAAAAAAAAAAGAAAUACAUGUUUCCAAAAUAAACAUAAGAAAGAAAAAAAACUAAACUAGGGUUAGGGUUAUUUUAUUUUAUUUUUUUGUCUUUUUGUCUUUUCUAGGGCCACACCCACAGCAUAUGGAAGUUCCCAAGCUAGGGGUCUAAUCAGAGCUGUAGCCGCCAGCCUAUGCCAGAGCCACAGCAACGCAGGAUCCAAGCCGCGUCUGCGACCUACACCACAGCUCAUGGCAACGCCGGAUCCUUAACCCACUGAGCAAGGCCAGGGAUCGAACCCGCAACCUCAUGGUUCCUAGUUGGAUUUGUUAACCACUAAGCCAUGACAGGAACUCAUGAGGAAAACAUUUUAAAAUGCAUUUUUCUUUCUUUUUUUUUGGUUGUUGUUGUUGCUAUUUUUUGGGCCGCUCCCGUGGCAUAUGGAGGUCCCCAGGCUAGGGGUCAAAUCGGAGCUGUAGCCCCCGGCCUACGCCAGAGCCACAGCAACGCGGGAUCCGAGCCGCGUCUGCAACCUACACCACAGCUCACGCGACGCUGGAUCCUUAACCCACCGAGCAAUGCCAGGGAUCGAACCCGCAACCUCAUGGUUCCUAGUCAGAUUCGUUAACCACUGCGCCACGACGGGAACUCCUAAAAUACAUUUUUCAAACUCCAUGCAACAAAAAGUUUUGUACAUAAGCAUGAUGAUCUCAAAAAGACUUAGUUUGACCCAAUAAGGAUUUUUAAUUGCUCAAAUUUUCUGCCAUGGCAGCAAUGUGCAAUAACAGCAUCUUCUAAGUAUUCUCCAAAUUUCAUAAGCCCAUUGAUGUUUUGGAGCAUCUAGUAUAUCCAAGACAGAGAUUUAAAUAUGUGCCAUAAAUAUUCAGUGGUUAUAUAAACACAAAAUCUUCAGCACUUCCAAAGGGACUAUUGAAUAUGGAUUUAAUAAUACAAUUUUGUUAAGAGAUUGUCACUGCUCUUGCACAGAAACCAAUUUUCAGACCUACAUAUAAUAUUUUUAUUGAGAAUGUAAGGAUGAAUUAUAUUUAAUUAAUAUUUACCUUUUUAUAAACCCCACCAAAAUGAGGAAGAAUCUCACUUUACAUCAUCCUAACUAAAG